rnacentral:lncRNA from 1 species
UAAAAAGGACAAGGGGUCAAUUUUGCAUAAUUGUUGUGAAAUUUGUUAGUAAGAACCUUGAAAUGGGAAACCUGAGUGAAAUUGCAAUUUUGAGCAUAAUUGCUAAAGGAAACUUCAUUUCUAGUCUAGGGAUAAAAAAUCCAUGUGGAAGAUAGCUCAGAAACUUACAAGUAGUUGCUUAGAAUCUGAGAUGUAUUCUCCUCCAAAUCAUAAGCACCGGAUUUGAGAUACAAUGGAAAGUAAGUACAAAUUUACAUUUUUGAUAUAUAAGGUGGAAAAAAUAAAGGAAAAAUUAUUUUUUAAAGAAGAAAGUUAUUUCUUUUUGUUUCUCACUCAAUAUUGAUAGGAAAAAAGUGAUGGCAUUUAUGCUUAAACUGUUUUCUUUUGCUAAUUGCAAGAGUUUUGAGCAAGAAAUUAAGCAGUUGUUAAUUGCUNNNNNNNNNNNNNNNNNNNNNNNNNUAUGAUGUUUUGAACCUAUAUUAUGGAAAAAGAUUAAAUCUUUUACUAACUUUUAGCUACUUGAAUUGCUUUUUUGUAUUCUCAAAUCAUGGAAUUAAUCAUGUACUUUAACUUAUUUUCUAUAUCUGUUUCUUUCCCCCAUUUAUUGGUAUGUAGUAUCAGAUUGUUGGUAUAUAUAUGCUAAUAAUACAAAGAGGUGAAGAGGACUAUAAAAAGUUAUAUAAAAUGGCUUGAUGUUUUAAAUUGAAUAUCCAAAAGCUACUUGAAUUUGACGUCUGCACCUCUUCUUGUACAAGAAUUUGCUUAUCUGUUGUCGUUUUGCAGCAGAUUGUCAUAGAUUAAAAUAUUAGGACUGUUUUCAUGGAGGAUCAAUCAAUUUUCUUGUCUUAUAGACAAUCAGUGUUAUCAAAGGCGAAAAGCGUAAAAAAACUCUAAGGUCUAUUGAAGAAAAUUUAUCAUUUAGCUGAAGAAGAAUUAAGGCUACAUGAAGAUGGUAUGUUGUGAAUUCUGUGAUAGGAUUCAUGCACAUAACAUUUCUUUGUGGCUGUCACGUCUUCAACAAUCGAUUCUCGAAUCAUCCUUGGAUUUCUCUAGUUGGGUUAUAGAUACUUUAUUAGUUUCUUGAUUGGGUUUGAGACUCUGUUUAUACAAGUUUAUGAAGAUAUUCAAUGAUUCUUGCCCUUUUCACAUCUACAUACUACUGCUAUGCAUUCAAACAAACAUAAAAAAUAUCAAGUUCCUGAUAGAGGGAAAUCCACAGUUACAUUCGGAAUUUAAGUACUUCUUAAUCUCCUUUUGCCUUUAUUCAUUCAUUACAAUGAGAAAUUUUCACUAGAUUUAUUGCUCUAAAAGCGUAAGAAAGACACCAAACUCUCCUUUAGGUGCUUCAACUGCGGUAUAGGUAUAACGAGUUAGUACGGAAAAACCUUUUGUAUAAGGUCCAAAAUGAUGAAUUGAGGUAGAGUAGACCGAUGAUCCUGCAGUCAUUUGGCCGGCUAUUGAAAGAAAAAGCUUGCAUAUGCUUCCCCUAUUAUAUAAUCGGUUCCAUCUCUCUCCAAACCUAGCGUGGUAGUUUCCCAUCAUAGGGUUUUCUAUCUAUAGAUUAAGCCAUUACCAAGGAGCUAAUUCGUUCAAAACUCAAUUGACUGCUUCUAUAGAGAAGGUGGAGCGUCAUGCUUUCGUAUCAACUUUGUGGGUUAUCAGUCUAGGCAAAGUUUUCUCCAUGCUAUAUUUUAGUGUUUUUUUUUUUAAUUUUUAAUUUUAUUUUGAAUGUGUAGGAAAAUGCGGCUGAUGCAACUGAAAGUGGUGACCACAAAUCAAUUUGACAUAUUGAAGUGAAAGAGGAAGACUUUUUGAAGAAUUGUGAUGUUUAUUAUUAUUGAUACUUAUAUGAAUAAAUUUUAUUUUGUAGCGUUUAUUGCUAGUGAACUUGAAGUAGUGCAUUAUUAGUAUGGGCAAUACUACACAAAUUAUAUUUCUUUGUUGAAAUUUAUUUCAAGUACAUGCAAUUGACCUAUUUUUAUUCUGUUA